CCGCGGUUAUACGAGAGGCCCAAGUUGACAGACACCGGCGUAAAGAGUGGCUAGGGAAAAAUUACUACUAAAGCCGAACACCUUCAGAACUGUCAUACGUUCCCGAAGAUAAGAAGCCCCACCACGAAAGUGACUUUAUAUUACCCGACCCCACGAAAGCUGUGAAACAAAC
rnacentral:rRNA from 1 species